UACAGAGGGGGCAAGCGUUGUUCGGAAUUACUGGGCGUAAAGGGCGCGUAGGCGGGAUGGCAAGUCGGUCGUGAAAUCCUUCGGCUCAACCGAAGAACGUCGGCCGAUACUGCCGUUCUUGAGGGAUGCAGAGGAGAUUGGAAUUCCCGGUGUAGCGGUGAAAUGUGUAGAGAUCGGGAGGAACACCGGUGGCGAAGGCGGGUCUCUGGGCAUCUCCUGACGCUGAGGCGCGAAAGCGUGGGGAGCAAACGGG
rnacentral:rRNA from 1 species